GUGGUGGUAACUGUGGGGGGGAAAGGAAAAGCAAUCGGUUACGCCUGCUCACCCGUGAAACAAGUGAUUAUACUAUUGCUUUGCCGAUGCAAACAUUUGCUCAGACAUACAGUGGUGAGCAUCAGGAUUCAUCUGGUUCACACAAAGACCCCACCCAGAUAACAUCUGGCUGCUGAGUAGCUCAUUUGCAUAAGGAAAUGGUGGGCUUUGGGAAUGAGGAUCUUAUGCAAAUAUAAUGCCCUAAGUUCAGGCACUGAGGCACUGUUCAGGCUUACGAAGGGGCAGGACAGACUGAUGCAAUUUUAAUAUGCCACCAUGUUGUCAAAUAUUAGCAUAAUCCCACAGUACAAAAUAUCUGACAAUUGGUGAGGAAAUUCUACCAUUAAAAGGUGUUGGCAUAAAGGGAACCCCAGAGGUUGGAUCCAAACUUAAACGGCAAUUUCCACAAAUUCCUGCUACAGAUUCCCCCUCCCCCCCAAUAAGCAUUUCAUCGAGAUCAGUGAGCUGCAGUGGAAAGGGGAAACAGGCAGUGAUAUAGCUAGAGGGUAGAGGGGGCUGGAGCCAAAUUCCAUCAAGAGAGAGAAGCUGAACUUCCCAACCUGGCCCCAUCCCCAACCCAGUCACAGGACCUCUCCUUCGAUGGAUUCAAUUUCAGAUGACCAUUUUAAUUACCUCAUCAUGGCCUCCAGGCACCCACCCUGCAUUUUCUGGGACAGUCACUGACUGGCCAUCCUCUACAGUUAUAGCUAUCGGUUUACUGAUGGCAACCCAACUCCAAACUCCUGACUAGCUGGGCGAGGGGGCACAUGUCGAUGUUAAACAGCAUUGGGGAAAGGAUUGCCCGUUGAGGGACUCCACAAAUCUGGAAUGUAGUGAAUUAAAAUUGCACAGAAUCAGGAAGUUGGGGGGGGGGAGCCGUAAGUAGCAGAGAGUUGGUUAGAUGGAGGUGGCUGCAGCCCCAAGAACCUGCUCUUGUGAAUCCCUGCCUUUUUAAUUUACUCGAUUGGUUUGAUCAACUACUGGCACCUAUAUUUUCAACUGGAUGGCUUCCAUAUUUUUUGUUUCUUGAUCCCAGCAUGCCAAAGGUGUAACCUCAAACUAGUCAGGUCUCCAUGAAAAAGGAGCUCUGCACCAGCGCAGACUUCCCUAAGAGCAACUGGGCUCCCAGUUUCUUUUAGUUGUGGGAUGGGGAUGCUGAGAUGCUCCUUUUGGCCAUUCCUCCAUGUUUUUAGCAAGUAGGGGGUUGUGCAUUUCAAAGGAGUCCAGUGCUUGACGUGCAAACCUCUUGGGGCAAGAGCAAGGUCUAUUAGCCUGUGGCUUGUUGUGUGGGGUGCAGUGCUGAGACCAAGUAAUUUAACACAUCAAGACUAUAACCUAUGUGAGGUGCUUCCUUGGGAGGCUUGACUGACUAGCCCUCCACCUUGGUGUCAACCUGGUCCCCUGGAUCUCCAUUGGCCUCAGAAUGGGCAAAGGAAGAGCUCAAAUGCACUCCCAGGAACCCUCUACCCAGUUCCUCCUUGACUUUUUACCAGUUCCUUCAUUUAAAGCAUAGGUGUCAAACUAAGGCCCUCCAAAUGUUCAUGGACUACAAUUCCCAGCAGCCCCGGCUAGCAUGGCCAAUUGGCCCUACUGGCAUGGGCUGAUGGGAAUCAUAGUCCAUGAACCCCUGGAGGGCCUGAGUUUGACACCUAAAGGGAUGUUGCUUCAUCCCUUUCCAUGCCCAAGCAGUUGGGUGCUAUCUUGUUCCUGCCCCCACCCCUAGGUUCUCUCCUCCUAUCCGGGUCAGGUGAAACCUUUUGCCAGAUUCCCUGCCCUCAACCCAGCAGCCCCUGUGCUACCACCCUCAGACCUGUUCUGGCCCUUCCCCCUUUAAUGGGUUUGGCCCCAAGAAUCUUCCCACCCCAGAAAGAGGCGGUGUCUUGCCCCUGCCAGCUGGCUCCUUUUCCUACCACCUGGGCCCCAGCUUCUGAAAAAGGGCAGGCAAGUCAAGCCCCUUCUCAGGCUCCUGUGGCAGCAUCUUUGUCAGUGGAGUUGAGCUGACUGGCAGCUCCCUUCUUGCCGCUGCUGAGCAGGGUGCCGAGGCUCUCCUUCCCAUCCACUGUUGCUAGUGGCCAAAUCCCCAUUUUUGUGUGUUUCCCUAAGAAUGGAACAAUGAAGAAUGCUCACGUAUGAGGGGGAAAAAGAGUAUUACAAACACCAGCCCAUUGCCAGCAGCUGUCUUUUGUAAAGAGUUGCAGAUGAAAUGUUAACUGUGGUUCCAUGAUGUCACCUAUCUCACCAUCUUCUGUUGCCCUGCUAGCAGCUUAUUUGCAUUUGCCGUACAAAACAGGUGCCUGGCACAGUGGGGUGAAUGGGUUCACAGAAGGAUGUUAGACCUAUUGGAGAACUCUGACCGCAGACUUGUGCAUCUGUGGCGCCCCAGUAUUGGAAAAUCUGUGCCAUUGUGUUUGUGUGUGUAUGACGAGCUUAAAUAGGGUGAAUUUAUUAGUCAAUAUGGAUUAGGCUAGUGAUUUGCCAAUUUUUUUUUAACUCUUGUCAAAUCCACAGAAGGAGCUAACUUGUGUAGAAUUACUAAAUUUGCUGUGACUGCGCAGCUGCCCAGACAUGGGCCUGGAUCCGUCAGAGCAUUUCCAUUGUUUCAAGGAACUCUGCCUUCAAAAUUCAACUUUCCUCCCCUCCUCUUCCUCCUCCAGUUGCUGUCCCCAGUGCCCUCCAACACUGUUCUUGGGAGACAGGGGGCCUGUGGGACAUAAUUUCAAUGGGAGGGAUUCCGUGAGGAGCUUGUGUUCUUCUGGUGGACAUAUAUCUGUUUCGAGAAACCUUCUAGAAGAGGAAUUGAUG